UACGUAGGGGGCAAGCGUUGUCCGGAAUUACUGGGCGUAAAGAGUGUGUAGGCGGUGCUCUAAGUCUGUUGUGAAAUCUCCCGGCUUAACCGGGAGGGUGCGGCGGAAACUGGAGUGCUUGAGGGUGGGAGAGGUAAGCGGAAUUCCUGGUGUAGCGGUGAAAUGCGUAGAUAUCAGGAGGAACACCUGUGGUGUAGACAGCUUACUGGACCACUUCUGACGCUGAGACACGAAAGCGUGGGUAGCAAACAGG
rnacentral:rRNA from 1 species